UCUUAAAACCUAAUCAAAUCGACCUCCAGACUUCACCGCCAAACAAUGGAGCAGUGGAAGCCUGGGCGAAUUCACAGAGAUAGAGAUGAAAGACUCUAGGCGUCAGAUCGUUGUGCUUCCUGUUGUUUUUCUCCUCGAUUAAUUUACAUUUUCUUUCUGGUUCGUUACCUUUCUCAGAUUCCCAAUCUUCUCCUCUUUCUACAAACCAUUUCAACUCAAUAAGGAAAAAAGGAUAACAAGAAAGGAAAAAGACGGGAACUCACCUACAAACACCGUACGCCGCAACUUCUGCAAGGUGAUCACGGGGAAGAGGGAGAGGACGGAACCCUAAUGGAAGGGAUCGAACUCCUAUAAAUAAAGUUGAACCCUAAGACGAACAAAUCAAUUUCUGAGAUCUAGAACACCGAUCAAAAUAAUCUCCAACAUCUCUCGAUUCUAAUUCGGAAGAAGAAGCAGAAACAACAGUAACUCCAGGUUUCUUCCCCCAUUCUGCAAGACUGCAAAAGAGUGGAGCUUACAAGACCUUCAAACAUCCCCAGACAGUUUAUAUCCACCCAAGCUCUAGUAUAGCCCAGAUAUGAAGUGUUCUUUAGUUAGUGCCCAGUUGUCUCAAUUAUGAAUUCUCUAGACAAUGAUCUUCUGAUGGAGCAGCUUAUCUAGUCAAUUAGGUACCAUUAUCUAUGUCAACCAGGGAUAAGGAAAACAUAAUGGAUCACUUGUAAUAUUGAACCCGAC